GCCGCGUGUAUGAAGAAGGCCUUAGGGUUGUAAAGUACUUUCAGCGGGGAGGAAGGGAGUAAAGUUAAUACCUUUGCUCAUUGACGUUACCCGCAGAAGAAGCACCGGCUAACUCCGUGCCAGCAGCCGCGGUAAUACGGAGGGUGCAAGCGUUAAUCGGAAUUACUGGGCGUAAAGCGCACGCAGGCGGUUUGUUAAGUCAGAUGUGAAAUCCCCGGGCUCAACCUGGGAACUGCAUCUGAUACUGGCAAGCUUGAGUCUCGUAGAGGGGGGUAGAAUUCCAGGUGUAGCGGUGAAAUGCGUAGAGAUCUGGAGGAAUACCGGUGGCGAAG
rnacentral:rRNA from 1 species